AGUGAACGCUGGCGGUAGGCUUAACACAUGCAAGUCGAACGGCAGCACAGUAAGAGCUUGCUCUUACGGGUGGCGAGUGGGGGACGGGUGAGGAAUACAUCGGAAUCUACUUUUUCGUGGGGGUUAACGUAGGGAAACUUACGCCAAUACCGCAUACGACCUACGGGUGAGAGCAUGGGAACUUCGGGCCUUGCGCGAUUGAAUGAGCGGAUGUCGGAUUAGCUAGUUGGCGGGGUAAAGGCCCAGCAAGGCGAGGAUCCGUAGCUGGUCUGAGAGGAUGGUCGGCCGCACUGGAGCGGGGCCGCGGUCCAGGCUCCUGCGGGAGGCAGCAGUGUGCUAUGUUGGGCAGUGGGCGCGAGCCUGGUCCAGCGGUACCGCGUCGGUGACGGCGGCCUUCGGUUUGUAAUGCCCGUUUGUUGGGUGUGAAAAGCAUCAGCUUAAUACGCCGCUGUUCUGACGGUACCCAGUGAAGAAGCACCGGCUAACUUCGUG
rnacentral:rRNA from 1 species